GACAUAUACAUGUAUUCCUUCCUCAUUUAAUGCACCAAAUGUAAUAUACAAAAAAUAAACAAAAACAAAACAUUGAACCCUACAAGUUUAAAGUCACAUUGGGAUGAAACAUGCCAAACAAAACUUACACCUUACAAUCAUUCAAUACACCAAAUAAAGUAGCCCUUAUCAUUCAAUACACCAAAUAUAGUAGCCCUAAUCAUUCAUUACACCAAAUCUAGUAGCCCUUAUCAUUCAAUACACCAAAUAUAGUAGCCAUAAUCAUUCAGUACACCAAAUAUAGUAGCCCUAAUCAUUCAAUAUACCAAAUAUAGUAACCAUAACCAUUCAUUACACCGAAUAAAGUAGCCC
rnacentral:lncRNA from 1 species